rfam:Canis lupus familiaris chromosome 12, whole genome shotgun sequence.
CAGCACAUUUACUAAAAUAUUAAAAUUGGAACAAUACAGAGAUUAGCAUUGCCCCUGCACAAGGAUGACAUACAAAUUCAUGAAGCAUUCCAUAUUUUA